GAUGUCUACCAGGAAAGCAUCAGGUGAAAAGAAAAGGGCUUCAGCGCAACAGAGGCUGGCAAAGCAUAGGGCAACAGUUUACAGCGAUCCAAUGUUGCAUGAGGAACACAAAAGGAAAGAGAGAGAAAGGUAUCAAAAACGUAAGGAAGCUGGUAAACUUAAAACUACUAAAGAUCUGACAAGCAAACAGCUCGAAAGAAGAAAGCAACAAUGGCGGAAGAACUCACAAAAUUAUUACAAAAGAAAAAAGCAGCAGCAAGUAC